CACACUGUCGUUGUCAAAUGACAUUAACCAAGGAUCUUUGAAGACAUUUUCAAUACAACAGCGCAAUAAGUAAACGGUAAAAAUGGAUGAAACGCAGAUCAUAGCAAUAAUGCAUACACCGCAAUGGUCUGGAAUUUUGGCAAGAUUGUUGACUAUGACCAUAAUGCGUCGCCGACGUAUACUUCGAUCCAUUAGGCGCUGGUGGAUGAGGCCUAUAAUGGUUCAAAGAAAUGAAGCAAGAGUCAGAUUAUUGAACACUUUAAUGGAGGAGGAAUCCAAUUUUGCAACACUAAACUUGCUAAGAAUGACGAAGCAAGACUUCGACCUUCUGCUUUCAUGGACCGAACCCAUAAUUCGUAUGCAGGAUACAAAUAUGAGAUUGGCUAUUACUCCUAAAGAAAGGCUCUUAAUAACUUUAAGAUACCUUGCGACAGGUGAUAGCUUUGCAAGUCUUCAUUAUUUGUUCCAGGUGUCUGUUAGAUCAAUUAGUCGUAUUAUUCAUCAAGUAUGUAAGGCCAUUAUAACUGCACUUAGCGAAUUUGUUCAGGUAAGCAUGUGUUAAGCAACAUAGUGUUACUGCAAAGUUCAAUUUUAUUUAUAUUUCAUUUUUAAUUCUAAAUUAUGAAUUAAUUCUAAGUUUAAUUCAUCAAACUUAAUAUUCACCUAAACG